rnacentral:rRNA from 1 species
UACAGAGGUCUCAAGCGUUGUUCGGAUUCAUUGGGCGUAAAGGGUGCGUAGGCGGCGCGGUAAGUCGGGUGUGAAAUCUCGGGCUUAACUCCGAAACUGCAUUCGAUACUGCGGUGCUUGAGGACUGGAGAGGAGACUGGUAAUUCAUGGUGUAGCAGUGAAAUGCGUAGAGAUCAUGAGGAAGACCAGUGGCGAAGGCGGGUCUCUGGACAGUUCCUGACACUGAGACACGAAGGCCAGGGGAGCAAACGGG